CCCCCAACGACCGUGCUGGGCACCAAACCCCAACGCCUCAUGCCAGUGACAUCAACAGCAAGUACGGGCCUGGCUCCUGGAACCCGCGCAGCUCAAGGCUGGAAUUGUGCAAUUAAACCUGAGGCAUGUUUCCCAUGUCAAAUGGGUUUAUGGGGGUAGUCACGAAGCCAGACUCGCUCAUGUUCUGUCUGGAGACUUGGCACACGUGAACCAGGGACAUCAAUCCGGUGUGUGUGAGAGUGUGUGUGUGUGUGUGUGUGUGUGUGUGUGUGUGUGACAGGUUUAAUAUUUUGGUUGGCCCAAUGUCAAAUUCUUCAAACAGCAAAGAGAAACAUCCAAGAAAGAAACUCCCCGGGUUUUGAGAGGGCAAGUCUGCUGUGAGCCCCAUUUUGAAACACCAUGGUGUGGCCAGGAUGGGCUCUGCUCCCGGAGCUUCCGCGCAAGAGUGCCGCGGUCCCCCCUGGAGUGGCCGGACAGCCGCGGCCAGUUCCACCACGAAGCCCAGGCGCGACCGAAGGGCUGCAGGCGUGGAAGACCCGGACAUCCCCGUGAGAUGGCCAGCGAACCAGAGCCCGUGGCUUUCGGUGGGGGGCGCCCCGGAGGGAGGUCGGGUCCCCAGAGGGACACACCUGGACCGGCCGGACCAGGGCGCGCCAGGCGGGGCGAGCUGCCGGCCGGGGUCUGCACCCAAGGGGCGGGUCGGACCCCACCUGCCUUUUGCCAAGGAGGAAACUAACUGCCGCCAGCACCACCCCUUCCCGGGAGCCGCAGGUGGUGGCGGACGAGUUCUCCCAGCUCCCAGGUGGAGGCUGCGACUCCACUCGCGGGAACGAGGCUCGCGGGGGCUGGGAGACGGGCCGGGGCCAGGCUGACCCACGCCGGCUUCAGCAGCCAGACUCGCUGGGCAGAGCGCAGCCAGCAAAGCCAGGAGCGCCGCCCCGGCCGCCCCGGAGGGUCGCAUCGCUGCUCCCCGAAGAGCUCGCUCCGGCGCUCCCUGAUCAGUCCUGGACGGAGUCAGGCGGCCGUGCGCGGUGGCUGUGGCGGCGGCGAGGCGGGGACUCGGGCGGACGCCGCCGAGGAAAAAUGUCCUCUAGGUCCAUGUUACAGACCCCUCCUCUUCACAAGGUUCACUAGGACUUUCAGGCCUGAUUCAACAACCCCGAUUUUCCGGCUCUGUCAGGAACCAUAAUCCUGAAGACAGCCACUGCGGGUUGAAGUCAGCCUCUGGAUGCAGAGGCUGUGAAGGCUUUGCAGGCACGUGUGUGCUUCCUCCACAUAUGCACACCUGGGCUGAGAGCAGUCCAAAUAGAAACACAGA